ACGUCACCUCCACUUGAAUUUAUGAGAUGAAGAUGGCGUCGCCGGGAGCUCUUUGUUCGAACUUUAAUUCAGGUAGCGUUAUGUGGAAAGCAUGAUGCAGAUAUUUGACAGUUUUUGAAGUUGCCAGAUGAUAUUCUCCAGAGGGUCUUUGUUGUUCUAGAAGAUGGCUGCUCUGCAAUCCAGCUGGCUUUAACAUGACAGAGAUUCAGCAACAUUGACAGCCAGGAGCAUUUUCAGCACGAGGAACACUUCAGCUGGCCAUAUAGUGUAGUGAAUUGGAAUAGAGUAGACUGUCAGAGAGACACUGGAGAAUUUACAGAAAACUGUAAACUAUCUCUGGGUGCAGCCACCUAAAGUGCAGCAAGUUUUCAAAGACUAUGGGGCUGGCUUCUGGGGAAAUGAACAAUGUGGAGUGCUUUUGGGGGUUUACUCCUCAGAUGACCACCCUGGCUACUGAAAUUGCUUCAUAUACAGAAUAGUUGUGUGUGUGUGUGUGUGUGUGUGUGUGCAGGCACAAUGUGUCGUUACUUUAACACUUGUGGUCACUUAAAGUUCAUGUAUGUUGUUAAAAAAGCAUAAGAUGGUUAUUGUAUUUACUCAAAAACAAUUAAAAUGGGUAAAAUUGUGGAUUCUUCAUUAUUUUACUGUAGCUGAUUUGUAUAUGAGCAAUUCCUUGCAAAUGUCAAACUUAUCACGAAAAGUAAAGUUUUUAAUCACACUGGUAUCUCAUAUGUCAAUAUAUACUAUCUCAUAUGUCAAUAUAUACAUGGUUUAAAUGCCCAUGCAAUGUCUGUUAAAACUUUUAACCAUGUUUCCCCAUAUUUUGAUAUUUUCAAAGAAUUCACAAUGUCACAAUUGUCACGUCUGUAAAUCUUUUUAUUCCUCAUAAAUGUGCAUACAAAAAUUAAAAUAAAUAUAG